UACGUAGGUGGCAAGCGUUGUCCGGAUUUAUUGGGUUUAAAGGGUGCGUAGGCGGCUUUUUAAGUCAGUGGUGAAAGCUGAUCGCUUAACGAUCGAACUGCCAUUGGUACUGAGAGGCUUGAGUAUAGUUGAGGUAGGCGGAAUUGACAGUGUAGCGGUGAAAUGCAUAGAUAUUGUCAAGAACACCAAUUGCGAAGGCAGCUUACUAAAGUAUAACUGACGCUGAGGCGCGAAAGCGCGGGGAUCAAACAGG
rnacentral:rRNA from 1 species